CGCUGGCGGCGUGCUUAACACAUGCAAGUCGAACGGUGACGAGGAGCUUGCUCCUCCGAUCAGUGGCGAACGGGUGAGUAACACGUGAGUAACCUGCCCCAGACUCUGGGAUAACAGUUGGAAACAGCUGCUAAUACCGGAUACGAGACGGAGAGGCAUCUCUACCGUCUGGAAAGUUUUUCGGUCUGGGAUGGACUCGCGGCCUAUCAGCUUGUUGGUGAGGUAAUGGCUCACCAAGGCGACGACGGGUAGCCGGCCUGAGAGGGCGACCGGCCACACUGGGACUGAGACACGGCCCAGACUCCUACGGGAGGCAGCAGUGGGGAAUAUUGCACAAUGGGCGAAAGCCUGAUGCAGCGACGCCGCGUGAGGGAUGACGGCCUUCGGGUUGUAAACCUCUUUCAGCAGGGAAGAAGCGAAAGUGACGGUACCUGCAGAAGAAGCACCGGCUAACUACGUG
rnacentral:rRNA from 1 species